rnacentral:lncRNA from 1 species
AUAAAGAAGCUGAGGUCUGGAGAGGAGAAGGGACGAAGGUCUGGCCGCAAGUCCAGCACAAGCCAGGUUGUCAUAUUUGCAGCCACGCGAUUUAUCGCUACGGAUGGAGCUCUGGUGAACCAUCUUGAACACGUCUCCUUAGUCGCCUGUCUAGAUCUUCUCUCUCUGAGUGUUUUGACUCAAAGCAUUGAUUAGGCCCUGGGGAUACCUCAGGGAAAAAAGGAGUCACAAAUCUCUGCCUUUGUGGAGCACACCGUGAGCCCAAAUUUACACCUAAGGACACUGGAGCACAGAGAGGUUAAGUGCUUUUCUGAGUCCGCACAGUGA